UGGGAUCUCUUAGAGAAGAAGGUUGUCAUCAGUAGGGAUGUCACUUUUGAUAAAAAUUUAGUUCUCCAAAGGUGAAAUGGCAUGGAGGAGCAGUAGGAGAUCCAACAGGGUAGCACUGGACAACUAACAUCCUAUUCUAUUUUGCCACUUGCAGGUGCAUCGGGAGGACUUGAUAUUCAGGUGGAGCACUUUCCAAAGGUGUCUCCAUAAGUGGAGA
rnacentral:lncRNA from 1 species